UCACCAUCCAGAGCGACCGAGGGAUCUGGCCCGCAGACGUCGCAGCAACCCGGGAAUGCCGGGUGCUACCGCCAGAAUCGAUGGAGG
rnacentral:ncRNA from 2 species